rnacentral:rRNA from 1 species
CCUACGGGGGGCAGCAGUGAGGAAUAUUGGUCAAUGGGCGAGAGCCUGAACCAGCCAAGUAGCGUGAAGGAUGACUGCCCUAUGGGUUGUAAACUUCUUUUAUAAAGGAAUAAAGUGGUCCACGUGUGGAUUUUUGUAUGUACUUUAUGAAUAAGGAUCGGCUAACUCCGUGCCAGCAGCCGCGGUAAUACGGAGGAUCCAAGCGUUAUCCGGAUUUAUUGGGUUUAAAGGGAGCGUAGAUGGAUGUUUAAGUCAGUUGUGAAAGUUCGGGGCUCAACCCCGGAAUUGCAGUUGAUACUGG